UAGGGUGCAAGCGUUGUCCGGAAUUAUUGGGCGUAAAGAGCUCGUAGGCGGUUUGUCGCGUCGAAUGUGAAAACCCGGGGCUCAACCCCGGGCCUGCAUUCGAUACGGGCAGACUAGAGUUCGGUAGGGGAGUCUGGAAUUCCUGGUGUAGCGGUGAAAUGCGCAGAUAUCAGGAGGAACACCGGUGGCGAAGGCGGGACUCUGGGCCGAUACUGACGCUGAGGAGCGAAAGCGUGGGGAGCAAACAGG
rnacentral:rRNA from 1 species